rnacentral:lncRNA from 1 species
UGAGACCAGAGAGGGUAGGAGAAUUGCUCACCAUCUGACAGGGCUUCAGCCACCCCACACGUGUCUUGCUGCUUCUCUAACAGAAUAAGCCAUAAACGGCUAUGAUGCCGGGGCACGGGGCUCCGGAGCAGUGUCAGUGUAACGUGAUACGAGAGUGCAGAAGAAAGAGAGGUCCCUUCCAGCUAAGAGGAUCAGAGAAGGUCCCGAUGUUGCUCCUUGCAGCCACAGUAAAGGGCAUUCUCUUUUCCCCAAACCAAGGAGCUCACCUCAGUCUCUUUUCUGUGUAAGUGAAACACUUCCAGCUUCUGCACCAACGUCGAAGGCUAAACCCAAGAGAGGAGUGCCGCUGACUGCCGCUCGGAGCCACAGCAUCGCAGCGAGGCAAGGACCUACUCCUCCUCCUGUGACAUCCCGACAGGUGCUCACCCAGCUUGUGCUCACACAUCCUCAGUGGCAGGGAGCUCACUACCUCAUAAGGUGAGAAACUGAGGCUCCAGGAUGUUACAGAUCAGCAUUUCCCUGUUCAGGCAGAUAUGGAAUCAGUUUUCACAGGAAAAAAUUUGAAGACAUCACCAAAGCCUCAUGUGGUUAAAAACAGAAACGAGGGAGCUGAAGACACGAGCUACCUGGCUGAAGGGAGCCCACACUACAGUGUGGAAGGAAGAGGAGACAGGAGGUCACUUCAGCGCCGAAGGACAAGCACCAGCCAUGUGGCUACUCCGGCUUUGUGUGUGCCUGGCCCAGGAAGGGAAGGGGGCCGAUGGGAGAAGAGGACCCCUACGCCUCCCAGAAGGGAGGGGUGAGCAAGGAAGAACUCCAUUCUCCCCCAACACGAGCCUGAGCUGGUGGAGAGCUGGGGAGCAGGCGCGGAGCCUUGGCCUUUCCGGGCCUCUCUUUUUGGAGCCAGCCCAGCCCAUCUGCAGCCCCUCUGCCCUCCCCUAUUCUCUGCUUGAGCGCAGGGGAAAAAUGGGCAGCGCUUCUGAGCCAGCUGUGUGGGAAAGUCCUCCUCCGAGGGCAGCAGUAAGGCCUUUGGCCUGCACCUCUGAAGCCACGUUCUUUCAGCAAAAAAGCCAGCACUUUGCUCUCCAACCGCCCCUUGAGCCCUCUGUCUCUACCGAGACGGGAGUCCUAGUCGUUGACUCCUCCCAAACAAAUACCGUGUGAGACGGCUCCUGGGUGCUGCGAGUUGAAACUGUAG